UUACCGAGUUUUCGGGCUUCGGCUCGACUCUCCACCCUUUGUGAACGUACCUCUGUUGCUUUGGCGGCUCCGGCCGCCAAAGGACCUCCAAACUCCAGUCAGUAAACGCAGACGUCUGAUAAACAAGUUAAUAAACUAAAACUUUCAACAACGGAUCUCUUGGUUCUGGCAUCGAUGAAGAACGCAGCGAAAUGCGAUAAGUAAUGUGAAUUGCAGAAUUCAGUGAAUCAUCGAAUCUUUGAACGCACAUUGCGCCCCUUGGUAUUCCGGGGGGCAUGCCUGUUCGAGCGUCAUUACAACCCUCAAGCUCUGCUUGGAAUUGGGCACCGUCCUCACUGCGGACGCGCCUCAAAGACCUCGGCGGUGGCUGUUCAGCCCUCAAGCGUAGUAGAAUACACCUCGCUUUGGAGUGGUUGGCGUCGCCCGCCGGACGAACCUUCUGAACUUUUCUCAAGUUGACCUCGGAUCAGGUAGGRANACCCG
rnacentral:rRNA from 1 species